rnacentral:lncRNA from 1 species
ACAGGAGUUCAUGUCCCAGCUACUGCAAUCAUAACAAGUAGUCAUGCACCAUAAUAUAGCAAAACGAAUUUUGAUAACAUCCUAUGUUACAUGGUAAGUUCCAUUGGAUAGAAUUCUCAACGUACUAAUUCUCUAGACAGCAUGAAACAUAGUUUUGUUCUUCUGUAAUUCAUGAUUCGCAUAUUGAACCAGUAAAGCAAAAGUUCUCUAAUGAUUUUGACAUUGAACAAUUUUAAGUGAUCUUGUUUCUCUUCUGCUCAGGAUUAUGCCAAUUAAACUUCCAGUGGUACCAAUCAAUUGGAGAAAGGACAUAGCGCUUUCAUAGAUGAAACAUGUUGUAAGCUUGAUUUGUUGAUCCUGAUAACGAUAGUGAUAUGCAGGACAAACAUGGUUAUAGCUUGUCCAAGUUGAAAAGAAAUAGUUCAUUUGGUCUCAGAUGCUAUGAGAAAAUAAUUUAAAAAGAAUAGAAGCAGCAAUGGAACAGGUCGAUAAUCGAACACAGGUAACAAUCUUCUCCUAUAAAUUUGUUUGUGCUAAAUAGCUAUAGUAAUGUAGGAUAUUGAUAAUAUUAGUGUUACAGGAAUAGCUGCAGCCAGUCUUGGAAAAUCAUCAACGAUGCUGUACAGCUAGCUAAACUGUACAAUAUGCUAUUUAUUCAACCACAUGGUGGGUUCACACCACAACACACUUGGACAUUGCAAUACCACUUUUGGACAUGGAAUGGUGCUAACCUUAUAGUCUCUGAUAAAUCACAAACAACAAUUGAAAUGCCAUUCAAGAAUUUCUUACCAAAUCUGAAAUUUGUUGUAUUACAUGGAAUAAAUCUCAAUUAAAAUGUAAUGGGUUCUAUUUCGGUAAUCCUAGUGGCUCUCACACUAAAUUUCAAGUUUUGGUGCAUGUUUGUGUAUGAAUUUCUAUUUAUUUUCGUCAUAUGUAGUUUCUUUCUCUUAUAGUUAAUAGGAUAUCGAGAAAAGUUUGGUGGAGUUAGAAGUUUGAAUCUAAACUUUUAGCCCUUGUUUGAGCCCCA